rnacentral:rRNA from 1 species
GAUGAACGCUGGCGGCGUGCCUAAUACAUGCAAGUCGAGCGAACGGACGAGAAGCUUGCUUCUCUGAUGUUAGCGGCGGACGGGUGAGUAACACGUGGAUAACCUACCUAUAAGACUGGGAUAACUUCGGGAAACCGGAGCUAAUACCGGAUAAUAUUUUGAACCGCAUGGUUCAAAAGUGAAAGACGGUCUUGCUGUCACUUAUAGAUGGAUCCGCGCUGCAUUAGCUAGUUGGUAAGGUAACGGCUUACCAAGGCAACGAUGCAUAGCCGACCUGAGAGGGUGAUCGGCCACACUGGAACUGAGACACGGUCCAGACUCCUACGGGAGGCAGCAGUAGGGAAUCUUCAGCAAAGGGCGAAAGCCUGACGGAGCAACGCCGCGUGAGUGAUGAAGGUCUUCGGAUCGUAAAACUCUGUUAUUAGGGAAGAACAUAUGUGUAAGUAACUGUGCACAUCUUGACGGUACCUAAUCAGAAAGCCACGGCUAACUACGUG